CCUUGCUUUCAAUUUGAUCAUAACACUAAAAAUCAAUAUAUAGCGGCGGAUCUCUCAGUGACACUAGGAAAAAUGCCACUAUAUACUCGUUUUUAAGCGGUGAGUAGUGAGGGCCGCUGCCAUAAGUGCGGUUUCGUAUAGUGGCGGAUGCAUUUUUGCCGGUGGAGCUGCCCUUAUACAUCCAAAAAAAAAGCUAAAAUUUCUCUCCCGCACAGACGAAACCCCAUUCCUUCGUCUUCCCUUAAACCGCACUAGCAAAACCCCUCAAACUUUUUCUUUGCUGAUUCUAGGUUUUCAACCCUCUCUCCCUCAUCUCUCGCAUUUCCUUUCUUCGGUAGCUGAGAGUAACUUUGGGGUGAGUGUCUGGCAUGAUACAACAAUUCCACUUAAAGAAGUUAUUCAUCAAUUUGAAAGUUGGAUUGCCCAUCAUCGCUUGUGGUAAAAGGAACUGGGAGGACCUCUUCACCGUGCUGCAUUUGUAACUUGAGGUAAUGGGAUUUGAAGACAAAGAUCCCUCGGCAAUGCAAAGUGUUAAGUACAAGAUUGCCACCGUAUUUUAUGGAGUGGAUCAAUUUAAAGG